GUCCCCAUCGUCUAGCCGGCCUAGGACCCAGCCCUUUCAAGGCUGUAACAGGGGUUCGAAUCCCCUUGGGGACG
rnacentral:tRNA from 1 species